CGAGUGGCGUAAGGGUGAGUAAUGCAUUGAUAACCUACCUUUGAGAUGGGGAUAACAACGUCCCAAGCAAUUGGGGCUACCGAAAGGGUUGCUAAUACUCAAUAAAACUGUUGGUACCUUGGUAUUGACAGUCAAAAAGGUGGGAUCGUAAGAUUUCAUUUGCUCAGAGAGGGGUCAAUGUCCUAUCAGCUAGUUGGCAGGGUAAUGGCCUACCAAGGCGAAGACGGGUAGCCGGCCUGAGAGGGUGGUCGGCCACACUGGGACUGAGACACUGCCCAGACUCCUACGGGAGGCUGCAGUCGAGAAUCUUUCGCAAUGCCCGAAAGGGUGACGAAGCGACGCCGCGUGUGGGAAGAAGGCCUUCGGGUUGUAAACCACUGUCGGGAGUUAAGAACUGUAAGGAUGCUAAUAGUAUUCCUACUUGACUAAGGCUCCGGAGGAAGCCACGGCUAACUCUGUG
rnacentral:rRNA from 1 species